UUUUACCCCCAUGUUAGAGCUAGCUCACUCAAGUCGCCCACUGAAGCUAAGCAGGGAUCUGCCCGGUCAAAACCUGGAUGGGAGACCACAUGGGAAAACAAGGUUGCUGCAGAAG
rnacentral:rRNA from 1 species